GUGCCUGCUUCAGCAGCACAAACACUAAAAUUGGAACAAUACAGAGAAGAUUACAUGGCCCCUGCACAAGGAUGACGUGCAAAUUCGUGAAGCAUUCCAUAUUAGA
rnacentral:snRNA from 1 species